GAUGAACGCUGGCGGCGUGCCUAAUACAUGCAAGUCGAGCGAACAGACGAGGAGCUUGCUCCUUUGACGUUAGCGGCGGACGGGUGAGUAACACGUAGGUAACCUACCUAUAAGACUGGGAUAACUUCGGGAAACCGGAGCUAUACCGGAUAAUAUUUCGAACCGCAUGGUUCGAUAGUGAAAGAUGGCUUUGCUAUCACUUAUAGAUGGACCUGCGCCGUAUUAGCUAGUUGGUAAGGUAACGGCUUACCAAGGCAACGAUACGUAGCCGACCUGAGAGGGUGAUCGGCCACACUGGAACUGAGACACGGUCCAGACUCCUACGGGAGGCAGCAGUAGGGAAUCUUCCGCAAUGGGCGAAAGCCUGACGGAGCAACGCCGCGUGAGUGAUGAAGGUCUUCGGAUCGUAAAACUCUGUUAUUAGGGAAGAACAAAAGUGUAAGUAACUGUGCACGUCUUGACGGUACCUAAUCAGAAAGCCACGGCUAACUACGUG
rnacentral:rRNA from 1 species